AAAUAUGAUGAUAUGACAUUAAAAUUUUAGAUCAAAGUUAUUGAUCUUGUUUUAUAUGGUAUAAAAAAUUUUCUAUCAAAAUUUCAUGUGAUUUGAAUAUUUCUACACCGUUAAACUUGCAACCGGCUCACUAUGGCCGUUAAAAUUAUUGAUUUUGAACCCCUUCGAUCACUAGGCAAAUAAUAUCGAAAAAUCACAAAAUUUAUUUUCUAGGUACUUCAAAUACUCUAAAUCAACUCUAACGGAGCUGAUCGUCGAUUCGAAAGUCCAAACAUCAAAAACGACUUGGAAGCACGGAGGCCUACGUGCUUCCAUAAGCAUACCAGCACAACUAUAUAUCUCUCUCUCUCUCUCUCUCUCUCUCUCUCUCUCUAUAUAUAUAUAUAUAUAGAGUUGAGCUGGAAUGCUAUCGGUAGCAAACGGGCUCCGUUGCCACUCAUUUAUUUUCGAUGAUGGAGCCUCCAAAUCGACGAUCGGUACCGUUGAACAUGAUCUGCACCACUUAACGUAUCUAGAAAUCAAAUUUCAAAUCUUUUCGACAUCAUUGGCCUAAUGAUUAAAGGGUUUCAAAAAUUGUAAUUUUAAUGGUAGAUAUGAGACAUUUUUCCGUUUAACGGUGUAAAGCUAUCCGAAUUAAUUGAAUUUUGGUCAGAAAAUUCUUUAAACUAUUUAGAACAAGAUCUAUCCUCUCGAUCUUGAUUACAAAAUUCCUAUCAUCACUUUUUAAAGGAUAUUCAUUUUCAGCCGUUCAUUUUUACGCCUACUUGAUGGACAAGAAAACAAUAUCGAAAAAGUAUGAAAUUUGAUUUCUAGAUACUUCAAGUGGUAUAGAUCAUUUUCAACAGUGCCAAUCGUCGAUUUGGAGGCUCUAUCAUCGAAAACAAAUGGGUGAUGGGUGGCAACGGAGCCCGUUUGCUACCGAUAGUAUUCUAGCUCAACUCUAUA
rnacentral:lncRNA from 1 species